UGCAUCAUGAAGAUUUAUAUUAUGUGUACCUAGGAGACAUGAUCAGAAACAGUUCUUACAAACUUGCCAUAUGAAUUUUUAAGUGGGAAAAUAUGCAAAUAGAAAAAAUAUCCAAACAAAACAAGGUAGAUAUGUGUUAGUACAGAAAUUAUUACCUUUGCAUUGAAUCCUGCUUAAAUGCAGGCUUCAACAGGUUCAGGAUCCGAUUUUGGCAAGCUGUUUAAACAGCUGCUAACUUUGAGUGUGCCAGCAGUGUCAGCAUGACUCAGUAGAACUAAUUAGAUGGUAAAGAGUAACUGAGUUUAGAAACUCUGCUCAUCUGACACUGCACCCCCUGAUUUCUCGUUGCCACUCCCCCAUCAAUAAAUGAGAUUGUAUCAUUACUGUAGGUGGGAUAAAAAUUUAGUCACUUGCUCUCAGGACUUGCUGCAAAAUUCUUUGUGUAUAAGUACUAAUUUCUUGCUGAAUUCUGAAGCAAAUACAAAUUUAACACUUAGCUGGCUGCAGGACUCCUGCCCAUCUGGCUUCAUAGUGGCUCAGAUGAAAAGAAGAAAUGAAAAUCUCUACACAGAGGUGUGGGAAAAAUUGCCUUAUCAUGGUGUUUAUGAAACUAAACAGCGGCAUGGGUGUAAGGGUUGCUGAAAAGAAAAGAAAGGAAAACAAAGGAAAAGAAAAGAAAGGAAGAGGAAAGAGCAGAGAACUGGUCUUAUUCAUGAAUGAAAGAGGAGGCAUUCCAAGGAAACCACAGCAGAGAAGAAACUUUGGUGGUAACAAUGGAUGUCGUGGAUAAAGGACAGUAGCUGGCAAGAAAUUAUCCUGGCUUUAGAAUUGAAUUCUCCUUGGUGCAAAAUAUGCUGAUCUUUGUCAUUGAACUUACAGCUAAUAUCCUAUCAAAAAUCAGGAUACAGGCACUGCUGCAUUCUGGGCUCCCACUGCGUCUGGAGUGGCCUGCUUAUUUAAAUGACUGGGCUUUGUGCAUGUACAAUGGACUGCUUCCUGGGAGUUGAGAGCUUUGUAAAAUUACAUUACAAAAUCAACAAUGACUGUGAUGGACUUUGAAUUUCUUAUAUGGUGGAACAAACAGAAUAGCAUAAUAUUGUCUUUCAGGUGCACACUUCAGAGAGAUUAACUAAGUGGGUGAACACCUACAUUUAAGUCAAAAGCAGUAAACCCUGGAAGAAAGUUAAAUCAUAGAAUCACAGAAAUCUUGAGAUGGAAGAAGCCCAUAAGGAUCAUCGAGUCCAACUCCUUAUUCCUCGCAGUUUAUAAAACUAAAUCAUAUAGGUACGAGUGACAUCCAGGCAUUCCUUGAACUCUGGUAGCUUGGUGCCAAGUGUCUGCUUUAGGUCUGGUCUGCCUGCUGUUAUGAUUAAAGUUUAUUGUGUAAAUAACAGUUUAGUCCCAAUACAAAAUAUGUCACUGCAGACAGUGGAUAAAGGAGUGUUUGCAGUAGUUCACAUCCAGGCACAAGUGACUUAGGAUGACUGGUUUGAUGUGGGUUGUGGGUCAAGUGCUGCUGUGGAUGGAAAGGCUCAUCACUCUUGCUCUCUAAGGAUGCAGACCUGUUGUGCCCAGGACGUGUUGGUUUCUCCAUAGCUUCUGUAGCAGAAUUUUCAGGACCAGCUCCUGCCCUGACUCUCCCCUAUGAUCACAUAAGCAUAUGACCACACCAGCCAGGUGGAGAGGAUAGUUUGGUCAUCAGAGCAGCUGAAGCUAGCCUGAAUCUGUCCAGAGUGGUGGGCAGAACAGCAGUGCUUCCUGAGUCGCUUCAAGCACAUAAGGAUGGAGGAAGUUAAAAUGAGAUUGAGGAUAAUUGUGCUUUUUAAUCUGGUGCCCCUUUCACCAUCUCUUAUAUCAGCUACCCUCUUUUCACUCCAUUAACUGUGUGAGAGUACCCUUUUAUCAGCUUAAAGGCCUUAAAAUACAGUAUUUCGCAUGUGGAUUAAGGACAAUAUGCAGCAUUAAGUAACCUAUGCUGAUGAAUUCCUCUUUGGGGUCAAGUCAUGGAGGAAUGCUGCAAGGUUGCAUGGCUUUUCUAUGUUGCUUACAAAAAUAAGAGAUAAAUAGAUGCAAUUUAUCAAACCCCCAGGCAGAGUAAUACAUUUAUGCCUGAAUACAGUAUUUCCCCAUGAGUUUAAAUUAGUUUACUUACAUUCAAUAUCAGAAACCAGAAUACAUGUAUUUGUAGUUUUAUAACCAAAUCCACAACAAUUUACUUUGUAGGAAAGGUUAAAGGGCUUAAUAACAGCUUUCUCUGAAUAUUUUUUUCAUUUUGUGGAUGUUGGAAAAGAAGUUAAAUUUUUUUGCUCCUAGAUAGUGAAAAAAAUACAUCAUUAUGUUCUCAGUUUAACUAUGUAAAUGACCUUACUGAUAAAUGAAAAUUGAUAUUUCAAAGCUGUAGUUUAUUAUAGCCUGAUGGCAUGUUAGCCCUUAUCAUUCAAGAAAGUACUUAACUCUGAAUAAUACAUCAGGCUAACUCUCUGAAAUUGUUAUUAUGAGAUUUUAAUGCACCAUAAAACAUGUCUUAUGAUCUUCAACAUGCUCAAGUGUCAGUCUAACACAUUAAUCUCACAUACAUCUUGGAAAACAGUAGUUUGGCAAAAGCUGUCUUCAUAUAUAGCACUUCUUUUACUAUAUUUCAUACAUGUGUAAGUAUGGGAUUUACAACAUCUGAAUAAAAUAAUUAUCUUUUCUGCA
ensembl:lncRNA